AUUGAACGCUGGCGGCAUGCCUUACACAUGCAAGUCGAACGCGAAAGCGGGGCAACCCGCAAGUAGAGUGGCGAACGGGUGAGUAAUACAUCGGAACGUACCCAGUAGCGGGGGAUAACCUCUCGAAAGAGAGGCUAAUACCGCAUACGACCUACGGGUGAAAGAGGGGGAUCGCAAGACCUCUCACUAUUGGAGCGGCCGAUGUCGGAUUAGCUAGUUGGUGGGGUAACGGCCUACCAAGGCGACGAUCCGUAGCUGGUCUGAGAGGACGGCCAGCCACACUGGAACUGAGACACGGUCCAGACUCCUACGGGAGGCAGCAGUGGGGAAUUUUGGACAAUGGGCGAAAGCCUGAUCCAGCCAUGCCGCGUGAGUGAAGAAGGCC
rnacentral:rRNA from 1 species